GGCUCUCUCCUUUCCCGGAGCAUUAUAAAACUUCAGCCCAGAGGCUCCAGCUCUGCUAGCUGCAUUCUAUUUCCCUGCUCUGGCAGGUCAGUCUGUGAGGACAUCAGCUCCUUCUUUGGAGUACUGAUGGCAGCAGAGCCCCUGACUGAACUGGAGGCGGCCAUUGGGACCAUAAUGGACAUAUACCACAA